AUUGAACGCUGGCGGCAUGCCUAACACAUGCAAGUCGAGCGGAUGAAUGGAGCUUGCUCCUGGAUUCAGCGGCGGACGGGUGAGUAAUUCCUAGGAAUCUGCCUGGUAGUGGGGGCUAACGUCCGGAAACGGGCGCUAAUACCGCAUACGUCCUGAGGGAGAAAGUGGGGGAUCUUCGGACCUCACGCUAUCAGAUGAGCCUAGGUCGGAUUAGCUAGUUGGUGGGGUAAAGGCCUACCAAGGCGACGAUCCGUAACUGGUCUGAGAGGAUGAUCAGUCACACUGGAACUGAGACACGGUCCAGACUCCUACGGGAGGCAGCAGUGGGGAAUAUUGGACAAUGGGCGAAAGCCUGAUCCAGCAAUGCCGCGUGUGUGAAGAAGGUCUUCGGAUUGUAAAGCACUUUAAGUUGGGAGGAAGGGCAGUAAGUUAAUACCUUGCUGUUUUGACGUUACCAACAGAAUAAGCACCGGCUAACUUCGUG
rnacentral:rRNA from 1 species